UACAGAGGUGGCAAGCGUUGUUCGGAAUUACUGGGCGUAAAGGGCGCGUAGGCGGCCUACUAAGUCAGACGUGAAAUCCCCCGGCUUAACCUGGGAACUGCGUCUGAUACUGGAAGGCUUGAGGAUGGGAGAGGGAUGUAGAAUUCCAGGUGUAGCGGUGAAAUGCGUAGAUAUCUGGAGGAAUACCGGUGGCGAAGGCGGUUCUCUGGGCCUUACCUGACGCUGAGGAGCGAAAGCGUGGGGAGCGAACAGG
rnacentral:rRNA from 1 species